UAGAGCAGCUGUGGAGCUUGGGGAACACUUAGCCAGGGAAAUAGUGCAGUAACUGCAGCCAGGUGUAGACCACAGAAGAGAAGAACAUGGAAACUCAGGCAUCUUAGUUCAGCCUCUGAAAAUGCUGGUAGAACAAUGGGUUUUUUUCAGUGUCACUUUUCUUGUUUACUGUAGCCAAUACCCAUCCCAUACUAAUACCUGAGCUGGAACACUAAUUCUCAUCAACUGCAACAGGACUUGCAGAACCGAAUACCAGAAAUAAAACCUUGAAUAACCUUCUAGCAUGAUUAAUUCAACAACUACAACAACAACUUAUAAUUUUUGGUAUCCACUGGCUAUCUGCCUUCAUCCAUAGUGCCAAUGUUUCCAUUAAUAAUUCCUGUUAGAAUUGUAAACCUGCUUUACUCUUUAUUGCAUAUGCUUUGGAAUUAUCUGAUAGUUCAAAGCAUCAGUAAAAAUGUUAAUUAUUGAGUACAAAAUACUAGAGGUUCUUUUAUAUCCAUAAGUGAGCAACAAGGACAUGGGUGUUUUGCAACUUUAUUUUGCACAUAUACUUUACCAACUGAUAUAAUUCUGGCUGAAUAGAUGAGGUGAGAAUGGUGGAUGCUGUGUACCUUGACUUCAUCAAAGCUUUUGACACUGUAUCCCACAACAUCCUAGUAAUGAAGUUUAGAAAGUGUGAGAUAGAUGAAUGAACCAUGAGGUGGACUGAGAACUGGUUGACUGGCAGGGCUCAGAGGGUUGUGACCAGUGGCAGAGUCAGGUUGGAGGCCUGUAGCUAGCAAUGCUCCUCAGGUGCUAAUACUGAGUCUGGUCUUGUUCAACAUCUUUAUCAAUGUCUUAGAUGAAGGAAUAGAGUCCACCCUUAACAAGUUUAGUGAUGAUACAAAGCUGUGAGGGGUGGCUGACACACCAGAAGGCUCUGCUGCCAUUCAACAAGACUUGGACAGGCUGAGAGUCAGAUGGAGAAGAACCUGGUGAGAUUCAACAAGAGCAAAUGUAGAGUCUUGCACCUGGGGAGGAACAACCACAUGCAUCAGUGCAAGUUACAGGAUGACCUGCUGGAAAGAACUUCUGCAGAGAAGGACUUACUUAUGGGUUCUGGUGGCCAACAGGUCACAUCUGGAAUACUGUGUCCAGUUCUGGGCUUCUCAGUUCAAAACAGACAGGGAUCUUCUAGAGCGAGUCCAUCAGAAGGCUACAAAGAUGAUUAGUGGUCUGAAGCAUCUCCUGUAUGAGGAAAGGCUGAAAUAUCUGGGGCUGUUCAGCCUGGCGAAGACUGAGAGGGGAC
ensembl:lncRNA